GCCGGGUGUGGCGGGGUGCACACCUGUAAUCCCAGAGACUCCAGAGGCUGAGGCAGGAAGAUUGCAAAUUCUAGGCCAUCCUUAGCAAAUUAGCAAGAUCUUGUCUCAA
rnacentral:sRNA from 1 species